GCAGAUGUAGCUCAGUGGUAGAGUGUAACCUUGCCAAGGUUAAUGUCGUGGGUUCGAAUCCCAUUAUCUGCU
rnacentral:tRNA from 1 species